rnacentral:rRNA from 1 species
AUUGAACGCUGGCGGCAGGCUUAACACAUGCAAGUCGAGCGAGCGGCGGACGGGUGAGUAAUGUCUGGGAAACUGCCUGAGGGAGGGGGAUAACUACUGGAAACGGUAGCUAAUACCGCAUACCAUCAUAUGUGCCCAGAUGGGAGUAGCUUGUAGGUGGGGGAAUGGCUCACCUGGGCGACGAUCCCUAGCUGGUCUGAGUGGAUGACCAGCCACACUGGAACUGUGACACGGUCAAGACGCCUGCGGGAGGCAGCAGGGGGGAAUAUUGCACAGUGGGGGCAAGCCUGAGGCAGCCAUGCCGAGUGUGGGAAGAAGGCCUUCGGGUUGUAAAGCACUUUCAGCGAGGAGGCGUUACUGGCAGAAGAAGCACCGGCUAACUCCGUGACAGCAGCCGCGGUAAUUC